rnacentral:rRNA from 1 species
AUGGUGCUAGGGUUUGAGCAUCCACAUUUCAAAUUUUCAGAGAAUUUAAACAUGAUGCACGGAGUUUGUCGUGGUGGGUGCACGGCAGAUGCCAAGGGAUGGCUAAAGAGAGGAGGAGGCUCGAGGGCGCUGGUGGGCUCCAGAGGCGAGGAUGGCAUGCACGGGCGUGGGACGCCGGACAUACCCAGGUUCGGGGCUCUCCGGAGAGAUAACACCCCUAGUCCUGCCGAGUUUGGUUGGAUGAUUGAUAGUACAAUGUUGCUCCUGGAGCAGUGUGGAGGAGGAAGGAAGCUGGCCAAGGCUUGGGCUGCUCCUUCUCCCUGGUACUGCUGUUGGGUGGCUAGUCCUAUGCUUACUCGUCCUUCUGUUUCUUACUUUUCGUCUCUGUGUGUCGUGCCCCUGUGGGCGUGGGUUCCUGGGGGAUUUUAUAGAUCAACCCACCCAGGGUUACAAUGGUAA